rnacentral:rRNA from 1 species
CCUACGGGAGGCAGCAGUGAGGAAUAUUGGUCAAUGGACGAGAGUCUGAACCAGCCAAGUAGCGUGAAGGAUGACUACCCUAUGGGUUGUAAACUUCUUUUAUAUGGGAAUAAAAUGUUCCACGUGUGGGAUUUUGUAUGUACCAUAUGAAUAAGGAUCGGCUAACUCCGUGCCAGCAGCCGCGGUAAUACGGAGGAACCGAGCGUUCUCCGGAUUUAUUGGGUUUAAAGGGAGCGUAGGUGGAUUGUUAAGUCAGUUGUGAAAGUUUGCGGCUCAACCGUAAAAUUGCAGUUGAAACUGGCAGUCGUGAGUACAGUAGAGGUGGGCGGAAUUCGUGGUGUAGCGGUGAAAUGCUUAGAUAUCACGAAGAACUACGAUUGCGAAGGCAGCUCACUGGACUGCAACUGACACUGAGGCUCGAAAGUGUGGGUAUCAAACAGGAUUAGAUACCCGUGUAGUC